AUCGGUGAGCCGGCGGCGGUGGCCUGGUCUCCAAAACCAAGGUCUGAGGGUUCGACUCCCUACACCGGUGCCA
rnacentral:tRNA from 1 species